GGUGGGAGACUUCUCUUGGGUUUGCGAUUACGUUCUCACCUUGGCACCAGGAAUACCGAAUACAUCCCUUUUCUGCCGGUUCAGACUGGAAACCCAGCUUAGGUGUGCUGGCAUUUGGUUAAACGUGCAGGUGUCACCAUCACAAUAUUUACUCCACGCAGAUGAUGCGAAGUGAUUAUUUCCCGCUUGAGCAAGAGAACG
rnacentral:lncRNA from 1 species